UCUGAGCUGUAUGAGGGUAGAAGCAGAAGGCACCGAUCCAUAGAGCCUCUGAAAACAAUAAGCCUCCUCAGGCAGAUGCAGGCCCAGAUAAAGAGCUGACCCUUCCUGUGGAUAGCACAACCCUGGAUGGCAGCAAGAGCUCAGAUGAUCAGAAAAUUAUCUCAUAUCUCUGGGAAAAAACACAGGGACCUGAUGGGGUGCAGCUCGAGAAUGCUAACAGCAGUAUUGCCACUGUGACUGGGCUGCAAGUGGGGACCUAUGUGUUCACCUUGACUGUCAAAGAUGAGAGGAACCUGCAAAGCCAGAGCUCUGUGAAUGUCAUUGUCAAAGAAGAAAUAAACAAACCACCUAUAGCCAAGAUAACUGGGAAUGUGGUGAUUACCUUACCCACGAGCACAGCAGAGCUGGAUGGCUCUAAGUCCUCAGAUGACAAGGGAAUAGUCAGCUACCUCUGGACUCGAGAUGAGGGGAGCCCAGC
rnacentral:sRNA from 1 species